GGCCUCCUGGCCCAAUGGUUAGGGCAUCUGGCUUCGAACCAGGGGAUUGCAGGUUCGAGUCCUGCGGGGGUCA